CAGUCGCCGCGGGAAAACGAAGGGGGCUAGCGUUGCUCGGAAUGACUGGGCGUAAAGGGCGCGUAGGCGGCGGCCAAAGUCAGGCGUGAAAUUCCCGGGCUCAACCUGGGGGCUGCGUUUGAUACUUGGUUGCUUGAGUGGGGAAGAGGGUCGUGGAAUUCCCAGUGUAGAGGUGAAAUUCGUAGAUAUUGGGAAGAACACCGGUGGCGAAGGCGGCAACCUGGUCCUUGACUGACGCUGAGGCGCGAAAGCGUGGGGAGCAAACAGGAUUAGAUACCCCGGUAGUCCCUGUCUCUUAUAA
rnacentral:rRNA from 1 species